rnacentral:misc_RNA from 1 species
UUCGAGCGUCAUUACGCCCCUCAAGUCAAACUUUUUGGUUAACUUGGUGUUGGGCCUUGCCGGAAAGCAUGCCUAAAAAUUAGCGAUGGUACGUUAAACCACGGACGCACAAAUGUCGUUACGUAGGGGCGCGUCACCAGUCUAAUGAUCAAUUUCUCAAUGUUGACCUCGGAUCAGGUAGGAAUACCCGCUGAACUUAA